AGCUCACAUAAAUUCAGAAUUUUCUGGAGCUACAGGCAGUACAGUGACCAACAAAACUCAGCCUUUGUGCCCUAGGAAUUGUAAUCCAAUAGGACUUUUCUUUUCUUUUCUUUUCUUUUUUUUUGAGACGGAGUCUCGCUCUGUUGCCCAGGCCGGAGUGCAGUAGCACAAUCUUGGCUCACUGCAACCUCCGCCUCCUGGGUUCAAGCAAUCCUCUGCCUCAGCCUCCUGAGUAGCUGGGAUUACAGGCACCCGCCAACACACCUGGCUAAUUUUUGUAUUUUUUGUAGAGGCGGGGUUUCACCAUCUUGGCCAGGCUGGUCUUGAACUCCUGACCUAGUGAUCCACCCGCCUUUGCCUCCCAAAGUUCUGGGAUAACAGGUGUGAGCCACCGUGCCCGGCUCCAAUAGCACUUUAACCAGAUAAUAAAAUACAGGGUGAAAGGUACAAAGAACAAAGAUAUAGUCGAGAGAGUGCUUUCUUGUGGUUGCAAGAUAAGUGACAGAUUUAUGGAGAUUUGCUUUGAAUAGUCCUUCUGAUUCCAAAAGUAAAGAUGAGAAUGGCUGGGCAUUCCAGGUGUAGAAUUCCAGGGACAGGCGGGCAUUCCACGGAAGACUAAAUCACUUGAAUGUCUGGGAGGUGGACAGAAGCAGCCAGGGUGAGAAAAGGGUAGGAGAGCAGGACACAGCCAAAUGAUGUGAUGGCUUUUCCUGCCAGGCCAAAGAAGUGGCCUUUGAUAGGCAAAGGGCAUCCCUUGAGAGUUUUGUAGUAGGAGGGCAACAAAGCAAAUCAUCUGUCAAGGAUAUGAAUCCCAUUGAAUGGGGAUGAAAGUGGACUACUACCUCAUGGCAUGUUUUGAGGAUGAAAUGAGCUAAUAAACACAGUCUUCAGCCCUACAUUAGCUGACUUAUAUAAGUUAUUAGUCUUCUAGAAGGAUCACAAGGAACCAGCAUCAAAGAAAUGGAAUCCAGCUAAUUCCCCCAAGAAACUGAAGUUUUCGGGACAUGACUUGUGAAAGGCAAACAUAAGCUGACAUCUUUUCACACUGAACAGCAAGAGCCAAAGUGUAUCCGAAAAGCCAUUGUCAAAACAAGGAGUGAGAACAGCUGGGGUCAAGACCUAAUGAAGGGCAUCACUCAGCCUCUUUGAGCCUCGGAUUCCUCAUUUGUAAAGUGGGCAUAAUAAUACCUCACAGGGUAGUUAUGAGGGCAAAUGAGAUAAUGGACACGAAGGCACCUGUACACUCCACGGUGCUAUCAGAAUAUUGACUAUUAGUGCUUUCAUCACGCGGCUCCAUCCAAACCCCUGCUUUCCCUCACUCCAGUAAGUGGUUGCCCUCCACCCACCCCCCAUCUUCUAAUAAUGUAGACUGGAAACCCAAGCAUCAUCUUUGUCCUCCUUUUCAUUCCCUGACCCCAGUUGGUCUUCAUCCACAGUCUCUUUUUUUUUUUUUCUUUUUUGAGACAGAGUCUCACUCUGUCACAGAGGCUGGAGUGCAGUGGCGCGAUCUUGGCUCACUGCAACCUCUACCUCCUGGGUUCAAGCGAUUCUCCUGACUCAGCCUCCCAAGUAGCUGGGACUAAAGGUGCCCACCACCACACACAGCCACUUUUUCUAUUUUUAGUACAGACGAGGUUUCACCAUGUUGGCCAGGCUCCUGACCUUGAACUCCUGACCUGGUUUUGCUCCUGACCAGGCUCCUGGUCUUGAACUCCUGACCUCGUGAUCCACCUGCCUUGGCCUCCCAAAGUGCUGGGAUUACAGGCGUGAGCCACUGUGCCCGGCCCAUCCCUCAGUCUAUAUUUCCAUAACUGGAAGAAUCUCCUAAGUGGGCUGUAAUCUAGCCUUGCGUGACUCCAUCCUGCUCACUAAUAAAGAAAUAAUCCUCUUAAAAUCACACUUGGAUUAUUCUUUUCCGUUUUUCAGAAACUUUCAAUGGUUUCCCAUUGCCUGCAGAAUAAAGUCCAACCUUCAAAGUAGCUGGAAUUAAAAACCAUUAACAAUCUGGCCUCCCUACCUAAAUAACAUCAAUGAGAGGGCCACACAGAAGUCAGAUAUAUGGAAAUUAAAACAUGUUUUACUGGUGGAUAAAUGCUGUACUAGAGGAUAGGUUAUGUGGCCAAAAGAGUUUGCUGACAAUUUCUGCUUCCCAUUCCCCCAGUCUAGACCUUCAGACACAGUCCACCUGAGGCUUGUCUUCCUCUCCGUGGUCAUUUAGAGUUGAUCCUACUCAUCCUUUUCCCCCACUGCAGGCUUCCCAAGGGUUCCUGCAGCCCUUGGCAUCUGUCUCACUCACCUGUCCCUUCGCAUGUUCUGCCAUGAUGUUUAGCUUCUUUCUUGAGAGUAUGCCCUCUUCAUAGAAGUCAGAAACUCCUGGCCCACUGGCUAAACCUGAUCCCUAGAGGUUUUUCUGACUCUCACAAUGUUGGCCUGCACUGUGUUUGACAAUGCAUCAACUUACCUGACAAUUUGUAUUCUAUUUAUUUUUUUUUAGAAGAGGAGUCUCACUUUGUCACCCAGCCUGGAGUGCAGUGGUGAGAUCAUAGCUCACUGCAGCCUUGACCUCAUGGGCUCAAAAAAUCCUCCUGUUGGGACUACAGAUGCUCACCACCAUGCCUGGCUAAUUUAAAAUUUUUUUGUAGAGACAGGGUCUCACUAUAUUGUCCAGACUGGUCUCAAAUUCCUGGCCUCCACCAAUCCUCCCACCUCAUUCUCCCAAAGUGCUGGGAUUAUAGGCAUGAGCCACUGCGUCUGGCCUAUAUUCUAAAAAAAUUCUGCUGAGAAACUAGGAAAGCUAGCAGCCUUGGUUUCUCAGGUUUGACUUGCAACAAUUGACUUCUUGUAAAUGUUGCCUAUAUUGCUUUCUCUACCACCUCAACAUCAACUUUUUCCCAAUUCGCUCCUCAUAUUUCUGCUAUUUCAUGAAGAUUGCUCUUGUUAAUGUCACCAAGAGCCUCCACAAUUGCCAAAUCCAGUAGUUUGUCUCUGCUUUUGUCUUACUUGCCCUUUUGGCAGCAUUUGCCACUUAAUCAUGCUUUUCUUUUUUCUUUUUUAGACAGGCUUUUACUCUGUCACCCAUGCUGGAGUGCAGUGGUGCAAUCUUGGCUCACUGAAACCUCUGCCUCCUGGAUUCAAGCGAUCCUCCCACCUCAGCCUCCCGAGUAGCUGGGACUACAGGCAACCUGGCGGUUCCCCGCUCCAGGGAGGUCACCCUCUUGAUGCUGAAUUUAGCACGGACACCUGAUGGGCACAGUGCACUGCAGCCCAGAGCUCCUGAGCUCAAGCCAUCCUCCUGCCUCAGCCUCCAAGUAGCCAGGACCACAGGCACGCACCCUGAGGAGGAAGAAAUACCAGGUGCGCAUGCUCCAAGAAAAAGCCAUCUGAGGACGCGGCAAGAAGGCCGCCAUCUACAAGCCAAGGAGAGGGGCCUCAGGAGAAAUCGAACCUGUCACACCUUGAUCUUGGACUUCCAGCCUUCAGAACUGUGAGAAAGUAAAUUUCUGUGUUCAAGCUACCAGGUCUGUGGGAUUUUUUAUGGCAGCCCUAGCAGACUAAGACAGGCAUCAAUGGUUCCAAUGUUUUCAUUUUUUUUCCGGUAAGCAGACCGAAGCCCAGAGAGAUGAAGCAAUUUGCCCAAAGUCACAUACCAAGUUAACUGAAGAGUUGGGGUUAGAAUCCAGCUCUUGUGACUUCUCUCUUUUCAGUUUCCCUUCCCACUCCCCCCACUGAAAAGCUUUUGAGUGACUCUUUUAGAAAUCCCGGUUCUGUAUAUGAAGCAGAAUUGAGCACAGCUGCUCUAAUGAAGGGCUCAGAGCUCCCAGGCUUUUCUCUCUCCCCUGCCCCUUUUCCCUGUUGCACCUCUGCAGUGUCCUGAGGGUUGAUGGAAUCUAGUUUGAAAGCUAUUGCUCUACCUCACUGCCUCCUGAAUGCAAUGUCACAAAUUUUCCCAACUUGCCAUUUCUCUCACACUGACAUAAAGCAUUAGAAACCUGUUGUGAAGUAGGAAAGCUAACUGGGUCAGUAGCUGAUAAGAUAAUCUGGCCUAGGGGAUAGAUGAUUAGGAUUUCAGAGAAGGAAAGGUCACCCAAUUGAUUUGACUCUGUCCUGGGGCGAUGAUAUGGUGAAGAUUUCUACAGAUGCAGCAGAAACAUCCGGAAACCAGGUGUGUCCCAGCUCUGGUCUGGGAACCAUUUCAUAAAUUGGCAAAUAUCCAGGAUAUACACAUGGCUAAUUCUGAGGUGUACUGAAGUUUCAAUAAAGCUACUUUGGUAAUGACUAGGAGAAGAAAAUCCUAUGGCUGGACUUCAUUAAUGUUGUAUGGCCAAGGACAGUGUUUCUCUAAUUAUGGCCUGUGAACCUCCCUGGAUCUCGAUCACCUGCAUAUUUGGGAAUAUGCAGGUUCCAGGGUCCCACCUGAAACUACAGAAUCAGUAUUGAGAUCCCAGGUGAUUCUCAUGUACACUCAAGUGUAAGAUUAUUAGCACCUGGACUUUGGAAGCAGCCAGAUAAAAGUUUGGAUCCUGGGUUGGCUACUUCCUAGAUGUGGCCAAGUCAUUUUACUUGCCAUGCUUUUGCUUUUCUUGUCUGUAAAGUGGACAUGAUACCUAUUUUACAGGGUGGUUUUGAGGAAUAAGGUCAGCAUUAAACAUUUAUCCUCUUUAGGGAGACAGAGAGAGGAGAUGAAAUAGAGUAGAAUUGAGAAAAGCAGUUUCUUAGACCUCCCUGUGAAGUUUUUCUUAUUUCAACAAAUAAUAAAAUAAAAAAUUCAUACACUUUCUUAGUGCUUGUUUGGACUUAAGAAUUUAAAAAUAACUUGAGAGUUUUAUAGGCAUCAAGGAUGAUGUCUGAGUGCUGGAAAUACUUGACCUUUGGCUGGAAGGUGGAGUGAAGGUGCCAGCGGACUGAACCCUGGGAGACUGUCUUCUGUUUUAUGAAUGUGGUCAUGCUCUGAGUUAAAUGAUGUCCCUGGUAAGGACAUCUCCCAGAAAAGCUUAGAAAUCAGCUGUAAUCCUUGUUCCCUGCAAGACCCUUGACUUGGAUGUUAAGAGUUCCCUAUAAUGAUAAUAGCUACCUUUACUGAGCACUACUUGUUAGCCAGGCAUUGUGCUAAGUGCUUUAUGUGCAUUAUGUUAUGCAAUCCUGCAAAUACCGUUACGGGGCAGGUAAUAUUAUUAAUGCUAUUUUAACAAUGACAAAAGUAACUCACUGAUUAGGACUCUGAGUAGUAUCCAUACCACUGUAAGGAUAACAAAGAGCAAAGGCAGAUUAGGUCCGGCUCUGCUGUUUGUUGGGUGUUUUACUUAGAUUUAACCCCUAGACAAGUCUGAGUCUUGAUAUGGUCUUGCCUAUUACUCUACUUCUUUCUCUGCUGUGCACAGAUGGAGACUGGCAUCUGUAUUAAUACCAGGUUGUGUGCUUAAAGUCCAAUGAAUAGCAUUUUUUUUUUUUUUUGAGAUGGAGUCUCAUUCUGUUGCCCCGGCUGGAGUGCAGUGGUGCGAUCUCUGCUCACUGCAACCUCCGCCUCCCAGGUUCAAGCAAUUCUCCCACGUCAGCCUCCUGAGUAGCUGGGAUUACAGGGGUAUGCCACCAUGCCUGGCUAAUUUUUGCAUUUUUAGUAGAGAUGGGGUUUCACCAUGUUGGCUAGGCUGGUCUCGAACUCCUGACCUCAGGCGAUCCACCUGCCUUGGUCUCCCAAAGAGCUGGGAUUACAGGCGUGAGCCACUGCACUGAGCCCAGUGAAUAGCAUUUAAUAAAUGUUUGUAAAUGCUCUGAAUGUACUAUGAUAAUACAACAAAGUUGUACACAUAAGAUUAUCAUAGCAAAAAAUGGAGAGUAACCUUGGUUACUUCUAUAUAGUUAUUUAAUUUUAAUUUUUUUUUUUGAGAUGGAGCCUUGCUCUGUCACCCAGGCUGGAGUAUAGUGGCGUGAUCUUGGCUCACUGCAACCUCCACCUCCUAGCCUCCUAGGUUCAAGCGAUUCUCCUGCUUCAGCCUCCUGAGUAGCUGGGACUACAGAUAUAUACUACCAUGCCCCUUUAAUUUUUGUAUUUUUGGUAGAGAUGAAGUUUCACCAUUUUGGCCAGGCUGGUCUUGAACUCCUGACCUCAAGUGAUCAGCUCACGUCUGCCUCCCAAAGUGCUGGGAUUACAGGUGUCAGCCACCGUGCCAGGCCAAUUUUUUUUUUUUUUUAGAGACAGAGUCUUGCCUUGUCAGCCAGGUUGGAGUGUAGUGGUAUGAUCACAGCUUAUUGCAACCUCGAACUCUUGGGCUCAAGUGAUCCUCCAGCCUCAGCCUCCCGAGUAGCUAUGGCUACAGGUGCAUACAAUCAAAUGCCUGGCUAAUUAAAAACAUUUUUUUUUCUGUAGAGAUAGUUUCUCGCUAUGUUGUCCAGGCUGGUCUUGAAAUCCUGGCCUCAAGCAAUCCUCCUGCUUCAGCGUGGGAUUACAAGCAUGAGCCACUGUGCCCAGCCUAUACAGCCAUUUAAAAUGAUUGUAUAGCUCUAUAAUAAAUGAAUAACAUACAUACCAUAAUAAAAGAAUAAAGCAGGAUAUGAAGUAGCAUGAU
rnacentral:lncRNA from 1 species